AUUGUGAAGCCCAUAAUUAUCUGAUAUUAUGAGAAGUCAAGUAGAAAAAAAAAAAAAAUUCUUUUCGGUGUCUUCUCGAGUUUUAGAUCUACGUGAUACUCUUCAUGGGCGAUUCACAAGAACUUACAUAAUGGCGAUCUCCGAUUUACAAUCAGAUGUAACGAUGAAAGCGAGAAGUAUUUCUCGCUAUGAGUCUGUUCAAGUCCGUCAAAUAUAAUUUAGAGGGUCAAUCAAGGUUGAAUCUUCUGAAACUUGGAUUACUGCACUGAUGUGCGGCCAACCCUUCUUGUUGGGAAUGAAAAACACAUUUUGUAAAGUAGAUACAAACCUCAACAGAAUCCAACAACAACGCAAUGGUUUUCCUUGGAUAUUGAUUAAGGUCCUCCUCGUUUACAGCCAUAAUCUGGAACCUUGGGAUUGCCUCACGAAAUGCUAAUGACAGACCAUCAGCAGGCAGCCUCAUCGACUUCAGGCCAGGCUGGAUUGAGGUGAAGUUGUGAAACGUCAAAAGAUUUUGGCAAACCUGAGGACGCAAACAACAAUGUCACCGUUAGCAUCAUUGCAUGCUCUAUAAACUUGCUCAGCGAAUCCACCCCACAAGGGGCUCUAUCUCACCAAUGUUUACAACUUGUCCAACCACAUCUAAACGUGGAUUUAAGAAAAGUAAUUAGAAUUUAUUUUGCAACUGUGUUGCUUGAAACACAAUGUAAUAAAAAGUGAUAAGUCAUGUAUAUAGUACUAACCAAUCAACAUGUUGGGAUUCAGUUCACCACUGAGAAUCUUCUGAAACUUGGCCAAGCUUAAGAAGUUGGAAUCCGAUUUUGGAUCACUUCUCGUAACCAUAGUCCCGUUUACAAAAUUCAUCUUGUAAAGAUGAUUUAUGGGACGAAAUUGUCCAUUGGCAUGUGUUAAAGAAAAAGUCUAUAUGAAUUUCCACUCACCAACAGUUAGGUGGUUCACGUAACGUGUAACCAAGUCUUUUUUGACUGAGGCAUGGAUUUUCAUUCCUUGAAAUGAUUAAAAUAGAGAAUCAUAAGAUGCAUGCCAUACAUAAAAUGUAUACUACAUAAAUUACUUACAGUUUCAUCAGCCAUAAUUAAUUCUAGGGGUUCUCCAGUACGCCACUUAUGCAGGACCUUAACUUGAACUCUCCAUGCUGUCUUGUACGGACGGAUAUCUUGCAGGAAUACAAAUGAUGCAGCCAUUUCUCUCGAUUAGUGGUUGGAUAUGCAGGAUGUAGGUUUUAGCUGUGAGUGUUGGUAUAUUAUUGUUCGUGAAUAUAGUAUUUAUAGAUUCCAAUAUGUUUGAUGACCAAGGGUAUUGUAAUCGCUGUAUUAAUUCAAAGCGAGAUUACAAUAAUCUCUGUGUUAUUAAGACAAUGAUUUUGCCCUUCAACAUUAGUUUCCAAAUAAUCUAUAUAGAGAAUUAAAAGUUUGGCUUGGUU